rnacentral:tRNA from 1 species
UCCCGUGGUCCAACGGCGACGACACCUGCGUGACAUGCAGGAGACGAUGGUUCGAUUCCAUCCGGGAUCA